UACAGAGGUCUCAAGCGUUGUCCGGAAUUAUUGGGCGUAAAGAGCUCGUAGGCGGUCUGUUACGUCUGCUGUGAAAACCCAGGGCUUAACCUUGGGCUUGCAGUGGAUACGGGCAGACUAGAGGCAGGUAGGGGAGAAUGGAAUUCCCGGUGUAGCGGUGAAAUGCGCAGAUAUCGGGAGGAACACCGGUGGCGAAGGCGGCUCUCUGGGACGGUACUGACGCUGAGACGCGAAAGCGUGGGGAGCGAACAGG
rnacentral:rRNA from 1 species